rnacentral:rRNA from 1 species
AUUGAACGCUGGCGGCAUGCCUUACACAUGCAAGUCGAACGGUAACAGGUCUUCGGAUGCUGACGAGUGGCGAACGGGUGAGUAAUACAUCGGAACGUGCCCGAGAGUGGGGGAUAACGAGGCGAAAGCUUUGCUAAUACCGCAUACGAUCUCAGGAUGAAAGCAGGGGACCGCAAGGCCUUGCGCUCACGGAGCGGCCGAGGGCAGCUUAGGUAGGUGGGGGGAUAAAAGCUUACCAAGCCGACGAACUGUAGCUGGUCUGAGAGGACGACCCACCACACUGGGACUGAGACGCGGCACAGACGCCUACGGGAGGCAGCAGUGGGGAAUUUUGGACAAUGGGCGCAAGCGUGAUCCAGCCAUGCCGCGUGCAGGAUGAAGGCUUUCGGGUUGUAAACUGCUUUUGUACGGAACGAAAAGGUCUGGGUUAAUACCCUGGGCUGAUGACGGUACCGUAAGAAUAAGCACCGGCUAACUACGUGCCAGCAGCCGCCGUAAAAC